rnacentral:tRNA from 4 species
GCGUGUAGCUCAGGCGGUAGAGCACUUGACUUUUAAUCAAGUUGUCCGGGGUUCGAAUCCCCGCA